GGAUUAGGCAUGCAAGUCGAGCGCGAUGAGUUUGGUAGCUUGCUAUUGAACUCGGAAAGCGGCGAAAGGGAGAGUAACGCGUAGUUACGUGCCCCAGGGUUCGGAAUAGCCACGGGAAACUGUGGGUAAUGCCGAAUAACAUCUCCGGAUCAAAGGUGUGAUUCCGCCCUGGGAGCGGACUGCGUCCUACUAGCUUGUUGGCGGGGUAAUGGCCCACCAAGGCAACAAUGGGUAGCGGGUGUGAGAGCAUGACCCGUCUCACUGGGACUGAGACACUGCCCAGACACCUACGGGUGGCUGCAGUCGAGAAUCUUCGGCAAUGGGCGAAAGCCUGACCGAGCGACGCCGCGUGCGGGAUGAAGGCCCUCGGGUUGUAAACCGCUGUCGUAGGGGAGGAAGGCUCCGUGAAGAACGGGGUUUGACCUAUCCUAGGAGGAAGUACGGGCUAAGUUCGUGCCAGCAGCCGCGGUAAUACGAACCGUACAAACCUUAUUCGGAAUCACUGGGCUUAAAGGGUGCGUAGGCGGUCAUGUAAGUGAGGUGUGAAAUCCCUCGGCUCAACCGAGGAACUGCGCUUCAUACUGCAUGGCUUGAGGGAGACAGGGGUAAGCGGAACUGAUGGUGGAGCGGUGAAAUGCGUUGAUAUCAUCAGGAACACCGGUGGCGAAAGCGGCUUACUGGGUCUCUUCUGACGCUGAGGUACGAAAGCUAGGGUAGCGAACGGGAUUAGAUACCCCGGUAGUCCUAGCUGUAAACGAUGAGCACUUAUCUGGGGAUCCUCCCAUAGGUUCCCGGAUGUAGCGAAAGUGUUAAGUGCUCCGCCUGGGGAGUAUGGUCGCAAGGC
rnacentral:rRNA from 1 species